CUCUUAUCAUUUUUGGCAAUUAGCGGCAAGGGAUGGCCAAUUUUGCCAAUUGGCCAAAGGUCGCUCGGCGACUUUCCCAAAAUGUUCGUCGCAAAACUGUCUGUAAAGUGGUUCAAUUUGCCAUAAAUCGCCCAAUCUGGUCACACUGGCUGUUCUCAAAUAUGAUUCAUUAAUUAUGUUCAUUUUUAUAACAUUAGUGUAAUGCAUAGGUAACUGAAGAGCUUAGCUAAUCUCAAACGCCUCCACCCACACACUUUACUGUAUAGCCGAUUGCCUACCACACAUAGAUAAAUAGAGUCAGGCCGUUCGGUCGACGUAAGUCGCAUCCAUCACCAUAUGUUUGCAUCAUUCAAAAUGGCGGUUCUGAACUUGUCUGCAGAGUCAAGGCGUAUUUUAAUCGCCCUUAUACCUAGAUGUAUUUUAUUGUGUUUGUUGGUCUGAAGUUUUACAAUGAUAACUAAAUAAAUAGUUGAUCGUGAUUAAAACUGUAAGAGCUACGGGUAGCGACAGAGCUUUAACGGCAAAUGUAGCAGUCAUUCCCAUCACAGAUAUGUGACUUAGAUAUGAUAGAAAGCGCCUUCCGAGUAUCCGCCUACUUAAGUAUUUUAUACUUGAUAUGACAUUUCGAAUGGAUCUUUUUCACCAUGUGAAUUUAAUAAAAAUAUGUUUGCU